rnacentral:lncRNA from 1 species
CUUUUUUUGUCUUUUCUUUUCCCCCCUCAGCCUCAGCGUUGUCCGUAAACGAAAGAGCUCAAGGCCGACCGUUCUGUGGAAGAGUUUUGGCUGCCAUGAUCGCGCAGCUGGCACCUCAGAAAGAGUGAGAGUAGCAGAAGCCAGAGUCCGUCGCCUUAAGAUACUGGGGUUUGCUUUGGCGUCUCCCCCACCCCCCCCUUUUUUUUUUUUUACGAUGCAAAACAAAAGAAAAAAAAAAAAACUUGGCCCAUGGCGCCUGCGCAGUGCUUGUUUACCGCGGGGCCAGCGCCGGCCUCCUCCUCCCAGAGCCUGCGCUUGCGCCUGCGCCUGCGCCUGCGCCUGCACGGGUGACGUGGAUUUCUCCGAGAAAACCGCGCCUGCUGGUCCCAGGACUAGAGAGUGAGCAGCAGAGUGUGCAGUGGAAAUCUUGGAGAAGUGAAAUGAAAACAACAACGCCCCGAAGUCGGUGUCGCGUCAGAGUCGAGAGCACAAAUGACCCAGGUGCUGUGCGCCCCACCAUCGCUAAAGUGAGCAGCGGAGCGGGGCGUGAGAGCGAAGACCCGAGGCGCUGACGCCUAAUUAAAGGAUGGACUUUGUUUAGCAAAGAUGCAAAUAAGUCUGACCCUCAGGCCGCCGAGUUCGAGCAAUUUCUGCCUGGUCUAAGACUGGUUCUUGAAGCAAACUCAGAAAGGGCUGCCAUGCAAAUUUUGAAACUAGAAAGAGCUGACACUAGAAGCAAUAACCCUUUAAAG